rnacentral:misc_RNA from 1 species
GGCCACAAGGAAAUCAACGUCUGGUCACCGAACGUCUACGGAACUGCCAUCCCAGUCGCGCCGUACAACUCUCUGUCGCUGAGUCAGGACCAGUCCACCGGAGCAGUGUUGCUGACGAUCAAGAUGGAUGGACGGGUGAGAUUCAAAGUUGGAACCUUCAUCUCUGGGAAGUAUCAUUUAUACGUGAGGUGUCCUGCAUACAUACAGUUCGGGAGUAGGACUGCCGGGAUUAUUGUCGGUGAAAACUCCGUUAAAUACUCUUUGCUGGUGAGCUGCAGCGUAAGUAUUUGAAGAUGAUGAAGAAAGAAGAUAACUUAACUUGUAAUAACGCCGUUAAGUAUUUUUCUUCCUUUUUUUUUUCCUAGAAUUUAUUUUGAAU